CACACUGACACACACACACACACACACCUCACACUGACACACACACACACACACCCACACCCACACCUCACACUGACACACACACACACACACACAUCCACACCACACACUGAAACACAAACUCUCCAGCACUACUCCACCCCGACUCUGCAGUAGGAGAGCAGUGGUGGAGGAUGUGCGGCUUGACUGUUGAUCCUGUGAGAUACAGUAAUAUUAAUAACACACUCAUAAUGUUUGUUUUAUACCUUCAUAGAAACUGACUGGCUAAAUAAUCUGAGAGAGUGACUCGUCUAGAUGUUCCUGCACACGCGUGUUUCAUGUACCGUCAUCAUUCAUGUUUCUGCCUGUUUUUCCUGUUUCAUGUAUUUCUGUGUUUCUUUUGAAUUGAAUGUGUUUGAGAAAGAACUGAACCCAAAUCAUGUAAAACAAUUAAAGUGAAACGUAAACAUUACAGAGGAUCAGUGCAGCUCUGCUCCCUGACCAGUGACUGAGGGGGACUGUGUGAGGGGGCAGGGCUUCUGUGAAGGCGAGCAGUUAGUGGGUGGAGUUUGGGAGGGCACAGAUAGAGGCCUGUCAGUUAGGAAGGCCAGACAGGCGGACGACAGGCGCGGCGCUGCUCCUGAUCCAGAAAAACAUCCCAGCAGUGGUUUAGUUCCUCGUACAGCAGCUCGGAGCCGACGCUGCGUCUCAGACUCGGCCUCAUCGCCGAGGAGUUUUCUGUGAGCUCUGCUCAGAUCAUCCAGUCUGUCAUUCACUCAGGUGGAGGAGGUGAUGGCUGAUCCUGUGAGGAGGCUGCUGACCGGGUCUCCAGGGGGUGGAGCCCAGGCAGAUGAGGGGGUGGAGGAAGGGGGCGGGACCGGAGAACGUAAAACUCGAGUGGAGAUGAAGCUCAUCCAACCAAGAUCAGAGGACAGCUCGGGGGCGGGGCUUACUAAUGACAUCACAGCCAUGAUGCUGCAGCAACAAGUGAACCGGAGGAAGGCCGUUCUGUAUCUGACACUGACCGGCCUGCUCAUAUUCACCACAGCGUUCCUGCUGGGUUACGUGUCGUUCCGUGGAAUGUGCCGCCUGUGUGUGGAUGAGGGAGAGAUGGUGCCGGUGGAGGACCCUGCCGGACCGGACCAGCCCGCGGGGGGAGGGGUGAUGUACCUGGGCGAGCUGAGGGACAUGCUGAAGAAAUACCUGAACGAAGAGAAGAUAGAGAGCACAGUCCGGCGAGUGAGCAGAGCGACCCACUCGACCGGCUCCGCAGAGGGAAACGCUUUAGCCAGUGAGAUUCUGCAGAACUUCCAGAAACUCCACAUGGACCACACCUGGACAGACUCGCACUACGCUACACUGCAGUUCCCCUCCAGGACUCAGAGGAAUGCUCUGUGGUUGGUGGAUGCAGAGGGGGUGGAGCUAGAGGAGAUUCCUUUAGACAGUGCUGACUACUGCGCGUACAGCGCUAUGGGAACAGUCACGGGGGGUGUGGUGUAUGUAAAUUACGCUCGUCAGGAGGAUUUUGAGCAGCUGCGGGCUCUGGGCGUGGCUCUGAACGGCUCUAUCGCCAUGGCGAGGGUGGGAGGAGGUGUGUCCUUUGCUGAGAAGGUGUGGCAUGCACAGGAGGCGGGGCUUGUGGGAAUUCUCUUUUACCCUGAUCCUGCGGACAUCCCGCAGGAUCCACGGCGACUCGGUCUCCAUGGCAACGCUGCGAUCUCCGAGCACGUACACCUGGGCUCAGGUGAUCCCUUCACACCUGGAUUUCCCUCCUUUAACCACACCCAGUUCCCGCCCACUCAGUCAUCAGGCCUGCCACUCAUCCUGGCUCAGCCAGUCAGUGCCAACGUCGCCUCCAAACUGCUGAGUCAGUUAGUGGGCGUGGCGUGUCCUCGGGGCUGGCAGGGCCGGUUGCCGUAUGUGCGGUGUGUUGUGGGUCCGGAGUUCUCCGUCGGGGGCCGCAGGGUGAGGAUGGCUGUGUAUAACAGUAUGAGCCCCGUCCUGCUCAAUAACAUCUUCGCCUCCAUCGAGGGAAAGACUGAACCAGAUCAGUAUAUUAUAAUGGGGGCUCAGAGGGACGCGUGGGGUCCAGGGGCUGUGAAGGCUGGAGUGGGAACAGCCGUCCUGCUGGAGCUCGCACGCACCUUCGGCACCAUGCUGCAGAACGGCUUUUACCCCAGACGCAGUCUGCUCUUCGUCAGCUGGGACGCUGGAGAGUUUGGAAACGUUGGUGCCACCGAGUGGCUGGAGGGUUACCUGUCCAUGCUUCACCUGAAGGCUGUGGCCUAUUUCAGUCUGGACCAGGCAGUUAUGGGUGACGAUGCUCUGUCUGCAUACACCAGUCCUCUGCUGGCCGACCUCAUCGAGGGAGCCAUCAAACAAGUUGACCACCCGAAGCACUCGGGUCAGUCCAUCCUGUCUCUGGCCGAAGCUCAAGGCGGCUGGAGGAGCAAGAUUGUGAAGCCGCUGUAUCUGAACAGCGGAGCAUACAGUUUCACAGCGUUUGGAGGAGUUCCUGCCAUGGAGCUGCGCUUCCACGAGGAGGGCCGUGUGUACCCAUUUGUGAACACUCAGCUGGACAGUGCGGAGCGUGUGCAGGAGCUGCUGCAGGGUCGGCUGGGUGUGGUGGGCCGGACGGUGGGGGAACUGGUAGGACUGAUGGUCCUCAAACUCACACACGACCUCAUCCUCCCACUGGACGUCACCUGCUACAGCACUGCUGCCCUGCGGCUCAGCGCUCAGCUUAACCAGCUCUCAGCUGAGCUCCAGGUGCGGGGCUUGUCUCCUCAGUGGGUGUACAGAGCGAGGGGAGAUUACAGCAGAGCAGCUAAAACCCUGCAGGAGGCCAUAAAGAACACUGACAUUCAGGACGAGAGAAUGGCCCGACUCUACAACACGCGCAUCAUGAGGGUGGAAUACUAUUUCCUGUCUCAGUACGUGUCGGUGGUGGAGACUCCGUUCCGGCAUGUUCUUCAUGGUCGUGGUGACCACACUCUCAGCGCCCUCACUGAGCACCUGGCCCUGCUGCGCACUCAGCCUCAGCUCUUCAACGAAGCCCGCUUCCGGCAGCAGCUGGCUCUCUUCACCUGGACCCUGCAGGGGGCAGCAAACGCACUCAGCGGAGACGUCUGGAACAUAGACAACCCCUUCUAGAAAACCUAACCCGUUACAGAGCACAACUAGCCAUCAAAACCUAUUGUAGAAUACAUAGAACCUUCACAACCCAUUCUACAACAUCCUGAACCAUCACAACCCAUUCCAGAACACCCUGAACCAUCACAACCCAUUCUACAACAUCCUGAACCAUCACAACCCAUUCUACAACACCCUGAACCAUCACAACCCAUUCUACAACAUAUAGAACCUUCACAACCCAUUCUACAACAUCCUGAACCAUCACAACCCAUUCUACAACAUAUAGAACCUUCACAACCCAUUCUACAACAUCCUGAACCAUCACAACCCAUUCUACAACACCCUGAACCAUCACAACCCAUUCUACAACAUAUAGAACCUUCACAACCCAUUCUACAACAUCCUGAACCAUCACAACCCAUUCUACAACAUAUAGAACCUUCACAACCCAUUCUACAACAUCCUGAACCAUCACAACCCAUUCUACAACAUCCUGAACCAUCACAACCCAUUCUACAACAUCCUGAACCAUCACAACCCAUUCUACAACAUAUAGAACCUUCACAACCCAUUCUACAACAUCCUGAACCAUCACAACCCAUUCUACAACAUAUAGAACCUUCACAACCCAUUCUACAACAUCCUGAACCAUCACAACCCAUUCUACAACACCCUGAACCAUCACAACCCAUUCUACAACACCCUGAACCAUCACAACCCAUUCUACAACACCCUGAACCAUCACAACCCAUUCUACAACAUCCUGAACCAUCACAACCCAUUCUACAACACCCUGAACCAUCACAACCCAUUCUACAACACCCUGAACCAUCACAACCCAUUCUACAACAUAUAGAACCUUCACAACCCAUUCUACAACAUCCUGAACCAUCACAACCCAUUCUACAACAUAUAGAACCUUCACAACCCAUUCUACAACAUCCUGAACCAUCACAACCCAUUCUACAACAUCCUGAACCAUCACAACCCAUUCUACAACACCCUGAACCAUCACAACCCAUUCUACAACAUAUAGAACCUUCACAACCCAUUCUACAACAUCCUGAACCAUCACAACCCAUUCUACAACAUAUAGAACCUUCACAACCCAUUCUACAACACCCUGAACCAUCACAACCCAUUCUACAACACCCUGAACCAUCACAACCCAUUCUACAACACCCUGAACCAUCACAACCCAUUCCAGAACACCUUGAACCAUCACAACCCAUUCUAUAACAUCCUGAACCAUCACAACCCAUUCUACAACACCCUGAACCAUCACAACCCAUUCUACAACAUAUAGAACCUUCACAACCCAUUCUACAACAUCCUGAACCAUCACAACCCAUUCUACAACAUCCUGAACCAUCACAACCCAUUCUACAACACCCUGAACCAUCAGAACCCAUUCUACAAAACCCUGAACCAUCACAACCCAUUCUACAACACCUUGAACCAUCACAACCCAUUCUACAACACCCUGAACCAUCACAACCCAUUCUACAAAACCCUGAACCAUCACAACCCAUUCUACAACACCUUGAACCAUCACAACCCAUUCUACAACACCCUGAACCAUCACAACCCAUUCUAGAACAUCCUGAACCAUCACAACCCAUUCUACAACACCCUGAACCAUCACAACCCAUUCUACAACACCCUGAACCAUCACAACCCAUUCUACAACACCUUGAACCAUCACAACCCAUUCUACAACACCCUGAACCAUCACAACCCAUUCUACAAAACCCUGAACCAUCACAACCCAUUCUACAACACCUUGAACCAUCACAACCCAUUCUACAACACCCUGAACCAUCACAACCCAUUCUACAACACCCUGAACCAUCACAACCCAUUCUACAAAAUCCUGAACCAUCACAACUCAUUUUGGAACACUGUGAACCAUCACAACUCAUUUUAGAACACUUAGAACCUUUACAUCCUGUUUUGGAACACCAAGAACCUUCACAGAACCCACACAACCCUUUUUCAGGACAUCCAAUGCCUUCAGACUUGGUGUCACGUGACCCCUCGGACUCGGAUGUCGCCGGGCGCCGUCUUGCCAGCCGUAGUGGAGCUCACCAGUGACAUCACUUCCAGUGUAGCUGCAGAGGUAAAGCCGGCGGCCGGAUUUGAGACGUGUCGACGACGUGCUCGUGCUCUGGUUGUUGAUCUGCUGUUGGUCAGUGCGACGCAGCAGGCUGGUGUGACCUACUCCAAUAAAACCUUCAGUUCUUUCAGCAAAAAA